rnacentral:rRNA from 1 species
UACGGAGGGGGCUAGCGUUGUUCGGAAUUACUGGGCGUAAAGCGCACGUAGGCGGCUUUGUAAGUUAGAGGUGAAAGCCCGGGGCUCAACUCCGGAAUUGCCUUUAAGACUGCAUCGCUAGAAUUGUGGAGAGGUAAGUGGAAUUCCGAGUGUAGAGGUGAAAUUCGUAGAUAUUCGGAAGAACACCAGUGGCGAAGGCGGAGACCUGGGCCAAUACUGAACGCGUGAGGUGCGAAAGCGUGGGGAGCAAACAGG